CCUACGGGUGGCAGCAGUGAGGAAUAUUGGUCAAUGGGCGGAAGCCUGAACCAGCCAAGUAGCGUGCAGGAUGACGGCCCUACGGGUUGUAAACUGCUUUUAUACGGGAAUAACGCGCGGUACGUGUACGUCUUUGCAUGUACCAUAUGAAUAAGGACCGGCUAAUUCCGUGCCAGCAGCCGCGGUAAUACGGAGGGUCCGUGCGUUAUCCGGAUUUAUUGGGUUUAAAGGGAGCGUAGGCGGCAUGUCAAGUGAGUUGUGAAAGGUUGCGGCUCAACCCUGGACUUGCAGCGGAAACUGGCGGGCUUGAGUCCAGUGGAGGCAGGCGGAAUUCGUGGUGUAGCGGUGAAAUGCUUAGAUAUGACGAAGAACUCCGAUUGCGAAGGCAGCUUGCUGCACCGCCACUGACGCUGAUGCUCGAAAGCGUGGGUAUCGAACAGGAUUAGAUACCCUAGUAGUC
rnacentral:rRNA from 1 species